CACUCAUGUUUCUCUUCAGAUCGUAUAAAUCUUUCGCCUUUUACUAAAGAUUUCCGUGGAGAGGAACAACAUGAGUUUCACCUAAUUUUUUGAUGCCCUGCCUAUGGCAGGGCU
ensembl:snRNA U5 U5 spliceosomal RNA